rnacentral:lncRNA from 1 species
GUAAGCUAUGCUCUUGGAAUCAUUACUCUAUUCCCCAAUUUAAAGGAUAAGUGCUCACCGACUGGUUAUGAACAGUACUACGAUCCACGCAGUGGCCAGGGUUACAUUGCCUACAGAUUGAAAACUGUUCAGCACAACUCUGUAAAUAACUUGAAGGGGGCAUCAAAGGUGGUUUACCAAGAUGGUCCUAAGACUUUGCGUGAGACAUCUUCAACAACUGAGCAACUGUCAGGUGACGAAUGCACAGAAGCUAUAUCCAUGAUGAAGCAUUCAGCGGACGCACCAAUUAUUAAGGAUAAAAUGAAGACAACAUUCAAGUACAGGCAGAAUUUGCUACAUGAUCCAGACAAAUCUUCACUCAUCCUUGAUUACUUUCCCCGAUUUUUGGAUACACCAGGCUUGGUAAGACAUUACAAUUUUGAUGUUAAUUGUAUAUCUAUAUGUAAUUGUAAUGUUUGUUAUUGACAUGAUUUCUCUGUGAUAGAUUGACCAAGACUUUACUAUGCUUUUUGGAGAUGACAUCUCAAGCAAGUUUAUUGCAAAAUGGCCAACAUUCUACAAGCCAAGAAUAAUUGCUGACUGCAAAAACCUGCACCCUGGUGCACAUGUGGAUGACCUUCUGUCUGCUCUGGAGGAGACUGAUUAUGCGCCAUCUAGAGACAUACUACAGACUACAGCGCUUGAAAGACAUGCUGUUAUAUCAGCAUGCCACGUUACUGAGGGGAAAAGUUCAAAGACAAGAGAUGAAGCUCCAUGAUUCCAGAGAAGGACAUAGAGAUCAGAAGCUUGUCAGCCUUCAGAGGGCCACCAGACCAACCCUCACACACGAUGAUGCAUACCUGAGGUGUCUGCCUAAAACAUGCUACUAUCUGGUUCUGGAACUGCAGAAACAGCUAAAACGACUCGGGUGUCUUCAGAGCAGCAGGGAACAGGAGGUCUUCAGGGUUUGGACAGAACAACACAGAAGCACAUGUCAACUUGAGAAGCAACUACAAGCAGUGGAUGCCAGUCUCAGUAAGAGUGGGUGGAGGAGGGGUGAACGCUUUCCAACAGCAGGGCAAACAGAGUUGGGGACAAGACGAAACUGAGCUCAUGUUUCCUGAGGGAAGUGCCAAAUCACAGCGUCUCUGAUCCCAGUAAGCAGCAGUGAGACAAACACACCUGCAGCAGUCACACACAAACAUACAUAACC